GACGUAGGUGGCGAACGUUAUCCGGAAUUAUUGGGCGUAAAGGGUGCGUAGGUGGCCUGACAAGUUAUCAGUGGCAAAUCGAGGCUCAACCUCGUGGAAACUGGUAAUACUGUUCGGCUUGAGUACAGGAAAGGUUAACGGAACUCUAUGUGGAGCGGUAAAAUGCACAGAUAUAUAGAAGAACAUCAAUAAAGGCGAAGGCAGUUAACUAUUCUGUUACUGACGCUGAGGCACGAAAGCGUGGGAGCAAAACGG
rnacentral:rRNA from 1 species